UUGUUUGUAGUUUUAGUGGUAGAUUUAGUUGGUUGGAAGAUUUAGUAGGUAGUUUAGUGGUAGAUUUUUUUUGUUAAUUAGUGGUAGCUUGUUAAAUUAGUUAGGUGAAAAGACGAGAAGAAGAAGAGGAGUAGAAGGAGGAGGAGGAGGAGAAGAAGAAGAAGAAGAAGAAGAAGAAGAAGAGGAGAAGAAAAAAUAAGAAGGAGAAGAAGAAGAACAAGAAGAAGAAGAAGAAGAAGAAGAAGA
rnacentral:lncRNA from 1 species